CUGAAUAAUAAUCUUAUAGCAUUUAAUCCUUUACAGAUGAGAAGAGGGAGGUGAAAGGAAGUGCAUCAGGAGGAAGGUGAAGUACUUGGAAACAGACGCGAUAUGCUGCAGCCACUUUACAAUGUUUGAGGAAGUGUUUCAGUUUGCACAACAUCCUCCGAUGCCUGCAAGAGGACCUGGACCACCCCCGUUCCUUUGUCUGCGGCUUUUGGGGUAACCACUACUUACAAAAUCUGGCCCAUCUCUUCCAACAAGCGUCCUUGCAGACUGGCCUGCGGCCAUUACAGGAGCCGGGCCUGCCGCCCCUACAGAUGAGGGGGUUUGCACUCAGCCUGUUUUACAGCCUCUCAUCCUUGCCCACGCCCUCUCCUAAAGAGCCUCACUGCAGCACACCAGCCUGCCUC